GAGAUCCUCCACCACUUUCGGGAAUCCGAUCUGCAUUUAUUUGGAUCGGAAUUGCCCAAAUCUGCAGAUUCCGAGUCCAAUUCUCGUCAGGGUCACAUCGGAUUGAGUUCGCUCUUGAUUCGUCGACGGGCGUCGCUCCUCUUCUCGGGUGUAAACGAGGGUUCGCGAGAGUUAACCGCACGACGGGGACGGGGAUAGCUGAAGCAACCGUUCUCCUCCUCCAGCCGUGCUAUUCGAGCAGCUCCCUGUCGUCAUGCCUAGGAUCGAACUCCUCGUAUAAUGCCUUCACGCGAUUCGAUUCGCGUGAUCUAGAUGGGAGUAGAUGGAGAGAGUUUUGAUGAUGGUGGAAAAAGUUCUGCAGGACUCGACGGAGGCGACAGUAUCGGUGGAGGUUCUGUGAUGUGGUCUUGGGAAAGGUGGAUGCAAGCAAUUCUUCUACAGAUCACAAGCAGUUGAUACCAACCAACUUCAAAUUGGGAAGCUCAAAGAUUUCCGGAUCAAUCUAUUGAAUGAUUAAAAACUCUAAUUGGAAACACAUGGUGCCUUGUUUUCCGCCCUCAACUUGGAACCAAGUAGUCAUCUCAAACUUGGAGCAUGGUCCAUAUGUGUACCAUAUUUGAAGAACAAACUAUGUUCUAAACAGAUGAUUGAUUUCUCUUACAGUGUUGAACUUUGUGCUGCCUUGAAGUUGAUAGAAAUCUCAAGUCGUCCUCCCGCGGUCUCCACAGUUGGCAAAAGCUGCUAUCAAAGCUCUUUUUCAUAUUAGCUCCUCUCCAAGUCAUACUUUUCCACUUCUUUUGCCAUGACAUGAGCAGCUUCUCCUUUCCUAUUCAUGGAAGGAAAUUUUGGGACUGUUACUGGAUGAUAAAUAAGAAUUAUUUAUCCUUUAA